AAAUUCAACAUCGGAAAAAGUUAUACCCAAUUUACUUUAGCAUGUUAGUCUGUCAAAUUGAGGGACUGCUGCGGCAUUUUUUAUUUCCUUAGGGGUAUUUUGAUAUUUUUCGUCAUCACAAACUUCUUCUACACGAUUUAAAUCAUCCAAAAUACUUUGUAAUCCAUUUCUUUUAUUAGUUUUAAUCUCUCAAUUCCUCUCCUUUCAAGAUCAAGAAUCAAUCUCGCACUCUGUAAUCCAUUUCUUUUAUUAGUUUUAAUCUCUCAAUUCCUCUCCUCUCUCAAGAGUAAAAUGGAAACUAGGCUUUCUUUCAAGAUCAAGAAUCAAUCUCGUAAGUCCAAGAUUUCCAAAGAACAAAUCAAGAUUCGAGUUCUACUCUUUAAACUUGUAAUCUAAGUACAUCUGUAUUGUCCCCCCUCCAUCUCAGGAUCUGAGGCACAGUCUCGGGGUCCAGUUCAGCAAUAGGUUUGAGUGCGUCGGAAGUUGCAAUUGUUCCUCUUUGUAAAUGAAUGGUGUAUAUGAUUGCAAGUUUGAAGGACUCUCGGGCCUUCAUGGUUCAGGAUCCCCGUCAUGGCCAGGGCCCCGGUUUGGAUCGUGACAGUAAUUGAUUUCUAGGACAAACUAAAUGUCCAUUUAU